CAACCUGAGAGUUUGAUUCUGGCUCAGAACGAACGCUGGCGGCAGGCUUAACACAUGCAAGUCGAACGAUAUAGUGGCAGACGGGUGAGUAACGCGUGGGAACAUACCUUUCGGUUCGGAAUAGCCCCGGGAAACUGGGUGUAAUACCGGAUACGUCCUUAGGGAGAAAGAUUUAUCGCCGAAAGAUUGGCCCGCGUUAGAUUAGGUAGUUGGUGAGGUAAAGGCUCACCAAGGCGACGAUCUAUAGCUGGUCUGAGAGGAUGAUCAGCCACACUGGGACUGAGACACGGCCCAGACUCCUACGGGAGGCAGCAGUGGGGAAUAUUGCACAAUGGGCGCAAGCCUGAUGCAGCCAUGCCGCGUGAAUGAUGAAGGCCUUAGGGUUGUAAAAUUCUUUCGCCAGGGAUGAUAAUGACAGUACCUGGUAAAGAAGCCCCGGCUAACUUCGUGCCAGCAGCCGCGGUAAUACGAAGGGGGCUAGCGUUGUUCGGAAUUACUGGGCGUAAAGCGCACGUAGGCGGACUUUUAAGUC
rnacentral:rRNA from 1 species